rnacentral:tRNA from 1 species
UAGAGAGUAGUGUAUAGGAAGCACUAAGAGUUUUGAUCUCUUCAGGUUGGGUUCAACCCCCAUCUUUCUAA